GCCCUAUUUAGAAUGGUGCUGAUCUGAUGAAUAAAAAAAAAUGAUCAGGGCCUUUCUAAGUAGAGUAAGGCUUAC
ensembl:miRNA Mir465 microRNA 465